rnacentral:rRNA from 1 species
UUGGAGGGCAAGUCUGGUGCCAGCAGCCGCGGUAAUUCCAGCUCCAAUAGCGUAUAUUAAAGUUGUUGCAGUUAAAAAGCUCGUAGUUGAAUUUCGGAAUCUGUCCGUCGGUCGGGCUUCACUGUCCGUACUGGUGUGAUGGGUUUCUACCUUCUGAAUAACCGGCAUGUCAUUAAUUUGGUGCGCCGGGGAAGCAGAACUAUUACCUUGAAAAAAUUAGAGUGCUUAAAGCAGGCUAUCGCCUGAAUAGAUUAGCAUGGAAUAAUAAAAUAGGACGGCAUGGUUCUAUUUUGUUGGUUUCUAGGAUCACCGUAAUGAUUAAUAGGGAUAGUUGGGGGCAUUAGUAUUCAAUUGUCAGAGGUGAAAUUCUUGGAUUUAUUGAAGACUAACUUCUGCGAAAGCAUUUGCCAAGGAUGUUUUCAUUAAUCAAGAACGAAAGUUAGAGGAUCGAAGACGAUCAGAUACCGUCGUAGUCUUAACCAUAAACUAUGCCGACUAGGGAUCGGACGAUGUUAAUUUUUUAAUGACUCGUUCGGCGCCUUACGGGAAAC